CCUACGGGCGGCAGCAGUGGGGAAUAUUGCGCAAUGGGCGAAAGCCUGACGCAGCGACGCCGCGUGAGGGAUGAAGGUCUUCGGAUCGUUAAACUCUGUCAGCAGGGAAGAACGGUCACUUUGCUAAUCAGCCCUGAAUUGACGGUACCUGCAAAGGAAGCACCGGCUAACUCCGUGCCAGCAGCCGCGGUAAUACGGAGGGUGCGAGCGUUAAUCGGAAUUACUGGGCGUAAGGCGCUCGUAGGCGGUAUGUCAAGUCAAGGGUGAAAUCCCCGGGCUCAACGUGGGAACUGCCUUUGAAACUGGCAAACUGGAGUGUGGGAGAGGAUAGUGGAAUUCCAGGUGUAGGAGUGAAAGCCGUAGAUAUCGGGAGGAACACCAGUGGCGAAGGCGACUAACUGGAACAUAACUGACGCUGAGGAGCGAAAGCGUGGGUAGCAAACAGGAUUAGAUACCCCGGUAGUC
rnacentral:rRNA from 1 species